rnacentral:sRNA from 1 species
UAUUCUGCCCCAUGGGGAAGGAUGAGAAGCUUCGACUAAGGUUCGACUCGAGCGAAGCGAGAGAACGUUGCCGCAGGCAAUGGCCCGAAGGCGAGGCGCUUUAGCGCCGAGUAAUCCUUACCCCACCACUG